rnacentral:misc_RNA from 1 species
GAUGAAGACGCAGCGAAAUGCGAUAGGUAAUGUGAAUUGCAGAAUUCAGUGAAUCAUCGAGUCUUUGAACGCACAUUGCGCCCCCUGGUAUUCCGGGGGGCAUGCCUGUCCGAGCGUCAUUGCUGCCCUCAAGCACGGCUUGUGUGUUGGGCCUCCGUCCUCCUCCCGGGGGACGGGCCCGAAAGGCAGCGGCGGCACCGCGUCCGGUCCUCGAGCGUAUGGGGCUUCGUCACCCGCUCUUGUAGGCCCGGCCGGCGCUUGCCGACACAUCAAUCUUUUUUCCAGGUUGACCUCGGAUCAGGUAGGGAUACCCGCUGAACUUAAGCAUAUCAAUAAGCGGAGGA